GCCCUUGCAGCAGCUAUUAUAAAUAGGAUCUUUUUAGGCAACAAGUACACACGGUCUCCAACAGUGAACAAAUCACGAUCAGACUAGCAGCUUUUUUUGCUCUCUGACUUUGGCUGAAUUUAGUUGUUUCAGAAGAAAGAUGUUAAGACUCUUCUUUCAGUUACUCCUGAUCGCUGUGCUGGGCAUUUGCUGUGCCCAUGGGCGCGAAGUUGAAGCUCCUUCGAAGAACGACUUUAAGGGGAAUGCCCUUGAGGAGAAUGUCCCUAAAGAAGACAGGUACUAUAACUACGGUUACUGCUGGCCAGUUGGUUACUGGUACAGCGUAUACGGCAUGUAUGAUUGGUGCAACUAUGUAUGCUUCUACAAUCCUCCAUACUGCCCCUACUACUAUUGCAGAUGCUACUAUUACUAUUAAUAGCACGUCUGCUCCGGACUUCGCUUUUGCAGUUUGAAAGUAAACUUCAAGAAGACUCAGAGAGACUGUGGAAAAUGCUCAGACUUGACUUCAUACUUUCAAAGAGACAUUACCACGUUACCAAAGCCUAAAAUAAUCAUAGCAUCCAUCAGGAUUUUUUUUUUUUUUUUUUUGCGAAAAAAAUAGAGGUCUGUAAUGGAAAAUUUCAAGAGCAACAAGUAAAAUUACUAAUCAACACGAACAGGAAAUAAUGUUUGUCAGAAUUUUGAACUCUGGAACUUACAAGUAACCAAAUACUUAUAGUUUGGUAUUUAAAUCUAAAUACAUAACACCUGUAAGAUCUUAUGAAGCUAUUCUUACGUUAAAUUGACUGAGAUGUUAUGAUUAUAUUUUGGAUGUAAUUCUUAGUGAAAAAAUUAUUCUCAAAUUUAGGAGUUUUGGAGUUUGUCUUAUAUUGAUUCAUAAUGUUUGAGAAACUGCUUAUCAUUAACUGUACAAUACCUGUUCAUUUUGAAUAAAUAAAGAUGGAAUGAAGCACAA